GACGAACGCUGGCGGCGUGCUUAACACAUGCAAGUCGAACGGAAAGGCCCUGCUUUUGUGGGGUGCUCGAGUGGCGAACGGGUGAGUAACACGUGAGUAACCUGCCCUUGACUUUGGGAUAACUUCAGGAAACUGGGGCUAAUACCGGAUAGGAGCUCCUGCUGCAUGGUGGGGGUUGGAAAGUUUCGGCGGUUGGGGAUGGACUCGCGGCUUAUCAGCUUGUUGGUGGGGUAGUGGCUUACCAAGGCUUUGACGGGUAGCCGGCCUGAGAGGGUGACCGGGCCCAUUGGGACUGAGAGACGGCCCAGAGUCCUACGGGGGGCAGAAGUGGGGGAAAUUGCGCAAUGGGCGGAAGCGUGAGGCAGAAACGCCGCGUGCGGGAUAACGGGCCUCGCGUUGUAAAAACCGUUUGCCCGUGACGAAGAGUGAGUGACGGUAAUGGGUAAAGAAGAACAGGCUAACUCCGUG
rnacentral:rRNA from 1 species